AUUGAACGCUGGCGGCAGGCCUAACACAUGCAAGUCGAACGAGACCUUCGGGUCUAGUGGCGCACGGGUGCGUAACGCGUGGGAAUCUGCCCUUUGCUUCGGAAUAACAGUUAGAAAUGACUGCUAAUACCGGAUGAUGUCUUCGGACCAAAGAUUUUAUCGGCAAAGGAUGAGCCCGCGUAGGAUUAGGUAGUUGGUGGGGUAAAGGCCUACCAAGCCGACGAUCCUUAGCUGGUCUGAGAGGAUGAUCAGCCACACUGGGACUGAGACACGGCCCAGACUCCUACGGGAGGCAGCAGUGGGGAAUAUUGGACAAUGGGCGAAAGCCUGAUCCAGCAAUGCCGCGUGAGUGAUGAAGGCCUUCGGGUCGUAAAGCUCUUUUACCAGGGAUGAUAAUGACAGUACCUGGAGAAUAAGCUCCGGCUAACUCCGUG
rnacentral:rRNA from 1 species